AAUCAACGCUGGCGGCGUGCCUAACACAUGCAAGUCGAACGGGAAGGGGGCUUCGGCUCCCCCGAGAGUGGCGCACGGGUGAGUAACACGUGGGUAAUCCGCCUUUGGGUGGGGAAUAACAAUCCGAAAGGGUUGCUAAUACCGCAUAACGCAGCGGCACCGCAUGGUGACAGUUGUUAAAGCGGGGGAUCGCAAGACCU
rnacentral:rRNA from 1 species